rnacentral:tRNA from 10 species
UCCUCCUUAGCUCAGUUGGUUAGAGCAUCUGACUGUUAAUCAGAGGGUCACUGGUUCAAGUCCAGUAGGGGGAGC